CCCGCUGGCGCUUACGUAACUGCUGCCCUUCACCGGGGACCGGGUGCCGCUCUGAGUCACGGGCCGCAGGGCGAGGGGAGAGGGCCCGCCGCGCCCCGCGCACGUGACCCGUCAGAUGACUCGUUCCAAGUUUGCACGGGCUCCUUUACCGGCAGGCUCUAAGGCUUCUCAUCCGCAUCCCCGAUUAGUCAUCCCCGAGUGACAUCUGAUACAUGCGCCCCGGCUCGCUCCGGGGACAGGGCAGGCGGCUGAUGAUGGAGGGGAGGAAAGGCCGCUCCAGCCGCCUCCGAUUCUUGCUGGAACCCGAGUUUAUGCUGAGUCAAGGAAACCUACUGUGAAAAGUGCCGGGGAAAGACAAGUCCCUUUUUCUAGACAAAUCUUAGAUGCUUCUGGGCUGGGAGCGGGGAGGCCGGCGAGGGGGAGGGGAGACUGAUCGGCGGGUGACUGGCAGGCAACAGGCCAUUCAAGGCAGGCUUCGGAUUUGGGGGGAUUGCUGUUAGAGGUGGAGUGUGCUCCCUCCUGUUUAAAGUAUGUAGUUAUCACAGCAGUUACCCUUCCCAGUUUCUCCCGUCUGGAGGGUGCCCCCCCCCGGGGGGGGGCAGCCCUGCCUCCCCACCCAGGCCUCCAGAAUCCCAGUUGCGCCCAUGAAUGUUGGAGAACACAGGUGUCCUGGCGGCCGAGUGGCGAAGCCCAGGGUCGACACUAGAUGGGCUCCUACUACACCAGGUUUGGGGGAAUGCAGAGUCAUGGUCUUUGAUCUUUGCAUAAUCCAGUCAAGAUUUGUCCAAUUCGAGAGUCAACCCAGUGGAAAUCAACUGGGGGCUGAAUCAGACUCCUGAUCAUACCUUGAGCAAGCCCUUGCUUCGCAAGCACACUCAUUCCAGCAAAGGCACAACUUAAUUGUGAGGCAGGAAGAAAAGAAAGGAGACAAGGUGUUUCUUAACAGUUACCAAGUGAGGGGAAGGCCAACUUGUUGCUUUCACUGGCAACACUUAACUCCGAAAGCAAUGUCCUCACUUAAAAGGAAAACAAAUGGAGUCGGGUGGUAGGCUUUUGAAAGGAGGAGCAGAGAGUUCGGGUUUGUGGAAACCUGGCUUUAUUUUCCUGGAGGGCCUUGUUAAGACACAUUUGCCUUGAGAUAAAAGGUUUUCUUUUGGGACAAUCCCAAAAUGACUUUGCCUGAUUCAAUUAAGCAAGGCCUAAUGAAAGAGAAUUCCUGCUUGGAGAUAUGCAUCAUCCCACCAGACUCAGGCAGUGGGAAGCUGGUAGAGUCUUGGUCUAUGAACUUUGAACCGUGUGGAGGAAGCUUUGCUCACCAGUCAAGUCCCCUGGUCCCUGCAUGAAGACACCUGCUUGGGUCUCUAGACAGGAUGACUCCCCAGGGAUGCUGGCAGCUGGAAAUCCUGCCAGGGCAGGCUUCAAUGUGCGUAUGUAAUAACAAGUCUCUAGCUCUUCUGUUUCAAGCCAACCUCCCAGGAAAAGGAUGGAGGGAAGAAACUGUCCUGCUUGGGGUUCAGGUACUACCACUGUCAGAGUCUCAGGUGACCUCAGUGACAUGUGACUAGAUGACAUAUGGCACUCAUCUCCAUGCCCACAGCAUGGUUGGUGCUCCACAAUGGUAGGUCUCUUUCUUGCCCCGGGCCCCUACCCCUGCCUGGAGCCUGCCCUCACCCUGCUGACUCCCGGGAAAGACCACUCCAGCAUCCGGCUCUGAUCUCUCACAGACAGGUGUUCCUCUUGGUCCAGCAGAGGGGUAGGGUGCCAACCACUGUCCAGGGAGCAUGUCAGCAGGACCAGGCUUGGUCUUCCCAGCAGAAGGGCCCAGCGUUGAACCAGGAGGCUCCAGGGCGGGGAGCUGGGCUCCUGCCCUGCUGCAGUUUCCUCUGGGCAAGGACGGUGAUCUGUAUUCACAUUUGCAUCCAUCGUCAUGUAUUUUCUGAGCAUAUACAACAUCGGGAGCUGGGAUUUCCUUCUGCUUUUCCUUGUGUGAGGGUUCACACCACCUGGUCCAACAUUCAGAUGGCGCUUCCCCAUUACGUGCAUUCUGCUUUCAGGGAAGGGAACGGGGCCAGAGCCCCAUGUUGUGUUCUCAGCAUGAUGGUGAAACAUGCUCAUGCACUCAAUCUCCAAUGAGCACCUGGAGCCACACCUUCUCAGGAUUUGCCAUCUUCGAGAACUACUUGAUUGCUAACUGUAAGUCAGAAAUCCAAUUUAACGGAUAGAUUCCACCAUCCUUGUUCUAGGCACUGGGAGCGCCCCCGGGAACCAGGGGUUAGGAACAGCCACAACACGUAUCAUUAAACAAGAAAGGUGACCAGCCCCGAUUGCAAGUGUUGUCACCCAUCCCUUGUCAACAGGCACACACCCCCACUUGCAUGAACCCUGGGGUAGUGAAUAGCAGCUUGUCUAGCUGAGGUGCUGGGGAUUUUGUCAAAGCCCGCCUAAUGAAAAGGCAGGACCACCUACCAUGAACUUUUCUCUAUGACUUCAUUCUUCAGCAGUGCUCAAGUAUAAAUGUACUUAUUUACCAAGAUCAGAAUGGGGAUGUUAAUGGAGUCUUAUUUGCGCCAUCACAAUGACCAGUAAUUUAUGCCCAGUGGAACUCAGGAGAGUGGAGGAAAUAACCAGAGAAAUUGUCUUUCUGUUCUAAAGUUUCCAUACAGAUAUCCUGGGCCAAAGUUAGCACUGUCAAUAUUCUCCUUUGCUUUUGAUUGUGUGUCCGUAGUAGAGAAAAACCUUGUUACCGUGCCUCAUGUGGUAAACAAAAUUAUACUGUAUCCAACAAGAAGAAAAGUGAAAUAAGAAGCAUUGAUGAAUGCGCCAACGGGUGUAACCUUGGUGGCCAGUCUGUGGUUUUUAUGAAAUGAGUGCAUGAACGCGAGGGCCGUAAUUAUUGCUUUCAAUCGACAAAGUAUGGUGAAUAUAGGGAAAGUGGUAGCACAAUGCUGGAUGUGUCUCAAAGCAGCUUUAGACAUAGAUACAGAAAUUCUUGUGCACAUGGCAUUACAUUAAAAAAUUAUUUUCAAACGCAAGGCAGUUUUUAAUGCUUGGGUAGAUUGGGUGGAUGACUAAUUUUGUUUUUGUUGUUCGGUAGCAGGGAUCCACAGACUCCAGCCCAUGAGCCAAA